rnacentral:tRNA from 1 species
AAGGUUUUAAGUUAAUUAAACUAAUAGCCUUCAAAGCUGACAAUAAAUAUAUAUUUAAACCUUA